GCGGGUGUGGCGAAAUUGGCAGACGCGCUAGACUUAGGAUCUAGUGGUAUAUCCAUGGGGGUUCAAGUCCCUUCACCCGCACCA
rnacentral:tRNA from 2 species